AGUGAACGCUGGCGGUAGGCCUAACACAUGCAAGUCGAACGGCAGCACAGUAAGAGCUUGCUCUUACGGGUGGCGAGUGGCGGACGGGUGAGGAAUACAUCGGAAUCUACUUUUUCGUGGGGGAUAACGUAGGGAAACUUACGCUAAUACCGCAUACGACCUACGGGUGAAAGCAGGGGAUCUUCGGACCUUGCGCGAUUGAAUGAGCCGAUGUCGGAUUAGCUAGUUGGCGGGGUAAAGGCCCACCAAGGCGACGAUUCGUAGCUGGUCUGAGAGGAUGAUCAGCCACACUGGAACUGAGACACGGUCCAGACUCCUACGGGAGGCAGCAGUGGGGAAUAUUGGACAAUGGGCGCAAGCCUGAUCCAGCCAUACCGCGUGGGUGAAGAAGGCCUUCGGGUCGUAAAGCCCUUUUGUUGGGAAAGAAAAGCAGCAGGUUAAUACCCCGCUGUUCUGACGGUACCCAAAGAAUAAGCACCGGCUAACUUCGUG
rnacentral:rRNA from 1 species